rnacentral:tRNA from 1 species
GCCAGUGUUGCUCAAUGGUGAGAGCAUUGGCUUACACACUGAAGGCGCAGGUUGGAUCCCUGGUCAAGGGCA